ACACGGCCCAGACUCCUACGGGAGGCAGCAGUGUGGAAUUUUGGACAAUGGGCGCAAGCCUGAUCCAGCCAUGCCGCGUGCGGGAAGAAGGCCUUCGGGUUGCAAACCGCUUUUGUCAGGGAAGAAAAGCUCCGGGCUAAUACCUUGGAGUCAUGACGGUACCUGAAGAAUAACCACCUGCUAACUACGUGCCAGCAGCCGCGGUAAUACGUAGGGUGCAAGCGUUAAUCGGAAUUACUGGGCGUAAAGCGUGCGCAGGCGGCUUUGCAAGACAGAUGUGAAAUCCCCGGGCUUAACCUGGGAACUGCAUUUGUGACUGCAUGGCUGGAGUGCGGCAGAGGGGGAUGGAAUUCCGCGUGUAUCACUGAAAUGCGUAUAUAUGCGGAGGAACACCGAUGGCGAAGGCAAUCCCCUGGGCCUGCUCUGACGCUCAUGCACGAAAGCGUGGGGAGCAAACACGAUUAGAUACCCUGUUAGCCCGCGCCCUAAACGAUGUCAACUGGAUGUUG
rnacentral:rRNA from 1 species